GACGAACGCUGGCGGCGUGCCUAAUACAUGCAAGUUGAGCGCUGAAGGUUGGUACUUGUACCGACUGGCUGAGCAGCGCACGGGUGAGUAACGCGUGGGGAAUCUGCCUUUGAGCGGGGGACAACAUUUGGAGACGAAUGCUAAUACCGCAUAAAAACUUUAAACACAAGUUUUAAGUUUGAAAGAUGCAAUUGCAUCACUCAAAGAUGAUCCCGCGUUGUAUUAGCUAGUUGGUGAGGUAAAGGCUCACCAAGGCGAUGAUACAUAGCCGACCUGAGAGGGUGGUCGGCCACAUUGGGAGUGAGACAGGGCCCAAACGCCUACGGGAGGCAGCGGUAGGGAAUCUUCGGCAAGGGACGAAAGUCUGACCGAGCAACGCCGCGGGAGGGAAGAAGGUUUUCGGAUCGUAAAACUCGGUUGGUAGAGAAGAACGUUGGUGAGAGUGGAAAGCUCAGCAAGUGACGGUAACUACCCAGAAAGGGACGGCUAACUACGUG
rnacentral:rRNA from 1 species